AGAACGAACGCUGGCGGCAUGCCUAAUACAUGCAAGUCGAACGAACUCUUCGGAGUUAGUGGCGCACGGGUGCGUAACGCGUGGGAAUCUGCCCCUUGGUUCGGAAUAACAGUUGGAAACGACUGCUAAUACCGGAUGAUAUCGAAAGAUCAAAGAUUUAUCGCCCAGGGAUGAGCCCGCGUAGGAUUAGCUAGUUGGUGAGGUAAAGGCUCACCAAGGCGACGACU
rnacentral:rRNA from 1 species